rnacentral:rRNA from 1 species
AAAUUGAAGAGUUUGAUCAUGGCUCAGAUUGAACGCUGGCGGCAGGCCUAACACAUGCAAGUCGAACGGUAACAGGAAGCAGCUUGCUGCUUUGCUGACGAGUGGCGGACGGGUGAGUAAUGUCUGGGAAACUGCCCGAUGGAGGGGGAUAACUACUGGAAACGGUAGCUAAUACCGCAUAACGUCGCAAGACCAAAGAGGGGGACCUUCGGGCCUCUUGCCAUCGGAUGUGCCCAGAUGGGAUUAGCUAGUA